GACGAACGCUGGCGGCGUGCUUAACACAUGCAAGUCGAACGGAAAGGCCUCUUUCGGGGGGUACUCGAGUGGCGAACGGGUGAGUAACACGAGAGUAACCUGCCCUUGACUUUGGGAUAACUUCAGGAAACUGGGGCUAAUACCGGAUAGGAGCUCCUGCUGCAUGGUGGGGGUUGGAAAGUUUCGGCGGUUGGGGAUGGACUCGCGGCUUAUCAGCUUGUUGGUGGGGUAGUGGCUUACCAAGGCUUUGACGGGUAGCCGGCCUGAGAGGGUGACCGGCCACAUUGGGACUGAGAUACGGCCCAGACUCCUACGGGAGGCAGCAGUGGGGAAUAUUGCACAAUGGGUGGAAGCCUGAUGCAGCAACGCCGUGUGCGGGAUGACGGCCUUCGGGUUGUAAACCGCUUUCGCUCAUGACGAAGCUUUGUGUGACGGUAGUGGGUAAAGAAGCACCGGCUAACUACGUG
rnacentral:rRNA from 1 species